ACCCAGAGUGCUGCCUCUGGCAGAGAGUCACUGGCAAAUCAGCUAGAGGCGUAUGGAUCCCAGGGAGGGAGAGUCAGUUUGUGCUGUGGCAGUUACAGUGGUGUUCUGGGGACAGUUGGCAGUUGGGCAGCGGCCAUCUUAGGAGGACGGACAGCAACAGCUUGGAGCAGAGGCAGCUUGCGGUGUGUGACAGGAGUGCUGCACAAUUUACGGAGAGCCAUCUUAUAUUCCCAGUGACCGGAGAUCAUCACUGUAGCAACCGAUCGGAAAUACCAGCCCCCUCGAGAGAUCACGCUGUUUCCGUUGGUGCUGGCUGACAGGCAUCUGAUGGAGCGGAGCAGUGACAGGCUCUACUGACUGUGUGGCUGGGAAUUAGGUGACACAACCUAUCCUCCCUUUUGAAGGACAGCCCUGGAGGUAGCCCUGCUUUGAAGUAACAGAUGGUGGGAGGAGCAGAGACAGUAUCUUGCUGCAGACAGAGGUCAGCUCACAGAGGUUAACUGAGGCCUACCUAACCCUUGUAAUGCAGGGAGAUUUCUUUAUAUUGACCCACAGAUGUCAAACCUGUGUACAGGACGAAUGCUUGAGCCCGCUGAGCACAUUGACUUCUGAGGAAUGGUUGAAAAAUUGUCGUGGACAGCGUUGUUCGUGUUGUGCGUACCAAGAUAUCUUCAAGAAAAUCCUGUAUGAAGAACAAACACUUCUUUUUUUGUUUUAUUUACAUUUUAUUUUUCUUACAAUAUAUAAAAAUUCAAGUGUUUUUCUUCAAUAAAUUGUUCAAUUUAGAA